rnacentral:rRNA from 1 species
GACGAACGCUGGCAGCGUGCUUAACACAUGCAAGUCGAACGAUGAAGAAGAGAAACGCGAACUUCGGUUCAAAUUUCACUUCGGAUUAGUGGCAGACGGGUGAGUAACGCGUGAGCAACCUACCUCUUACAAAGGGAUAGCCUCGGGAAACCGUGAUUAAUACCAUAUGACACAUUCAUAAGGCAUCUUAAGAAUGUUAAAGCUACGGCGGUAAGAGAUGGGCUCGCGUCCCAUUAGCUAGUUGGUGAGGUAACGGCCCACCAAGGCGACGAUGGGUAACUGGUCUGAGAGGACGAACGGCCACAGUGGAACUGAGACACGGUCCAAACUCCUACGGGAGGCAGCAGUGGGGAAUAUUGCACAAUGGAGGGAAGUCUGAUGCAGCGACGCCGCGUGAGCGAUGAAGGAAUUCGUUUCGUAAAGCUCUGUUCUAUGGGAAGAAAAUGACUGUACCAGAGGAGAAAGCCCCGGCUAAAUACGUG